AAUCAAGCAUGAUAAGCGUGCAUGGAGGAUGAUUAGGCGUACAGACCCGAUGAAAGACGUGGUAUAGCUGCGAUAAGCUUUGGAGAGCCGUUAAACAGGCAUUGACCCAGAGAUCUCUGAGAUGCGGUAACGCGGCCGAGGUAAUACUCGGUCAGCAUGUGAUGAAUACAUAGUCAUGUGUGGGGAACGAGGGGAAUUGAAACAUCUUAGUACCCUCAGGAAAAGAAAGAAAAAUCGAUACCCUUAGUAGCGGCGAGCGAAGGGGGUAUAGCCCAAAAUACUAAUGUGCCAAGGUUGUGGCCGUUGCAUUAGUGUGGUCGUGGGACAAUCCGGUAGGUCCACAGAACUACCAAGAAGUUACAAAACUUAAAGUUAGCAGAAUAACCUGGAAAGGUUAGCCGUAGAUGGUGAUAGCCCAGUAAGCGAAAACUUUGAGACUUUUGAUUGUAUCCCAAGUAGUGCCAGACACGUGAAACCUGGUAUGAAUUCGCAGGGACCAUCCUGUAAGGCUAAAUAGUCCUGUACGACCGAUAGCGAUAAGUACCGUAAGGGAACAUUGAAAAGUACCUCUUUUAGAGGAGUGAAAAGUACCUGAAACCAUGUACGUACAAGCGGUAGGAGGCCUAUGACUAUUUAUAGUAAUGGCUGACUGCGUGCCUUUUGCAUAAUGAUCCGGCGACUUAUGAUGUCAGGCGAGGUUAAGCAUCUACGGUGCGAAGCCGAAGCGAAAGCGAGUACUAAUAGUGCGUUGAGUCGGGCGUUGUAGACCCGAAAGCAGGUGAUCUAACCAUGGGCAGGGUGAAGCGUGUGUAAUAGCACGUGGAGGCCCGAACCGGUGUUGGCUGAAAACAACUCGGAUGACUUGUGGUUAGGAGUAAAAAGCUAAUCGAACUUGCAGAUAGCUGGUUCUCCCCGAAAUAGCUUUAGGGCUAGCGUUGGGUAAAUUAGCAUGGGGGGGUAGAGAUACUGAUUUCGAUAGGGGGGCCUCACAGCCUACCCUCCGAAGCCAAACUCCGAAUACCCCAUGUGGUACCCCAGCAGUCAGACAGUGGGCGAUAAGGUUCAUUGUCGAAAGGGAAACAGCCCAGACCGCCAGCUAAGGUCCCAAAGUAUUGCUAAGUGUGGUUAAGGAUCUGAGAUUGCUAAAACAGCUAGGAUGUUGGCUUAGAAGCAGCCACCAUUUAAAGAGUGCGUAAUAGCUCACUAGUCGAGCAGUCUUGGGCCGAUAAUGAUCGGGACUAAAGUAAUACACCGAAGCUGCGGAUCCGAAGAAGUGAAUUCUUCAGGGUGGUAGGGGAGCGUUGAAUUUGUGUUGAAGCCAUACGGAGACGAGUGGUGGAACGGAUUCAAGUGCUUAUGCCGGAAUGAGUAACGAUAAAACAUGUGAGAAUCAUGUUCGCCGAAAACCUAAGGUUUCCUGGGGAAGGUAAAUCCGCCCAGGGUUAGUCGGUACCUAAGGCGAGGCCGAAAGGCGUAGUCGAUGGACAACAGGUUAAUAUUCCUGUACUACCAAUAAUCAUUUGACCAAUGGUGUGACGGAUCUACAAAGAUGGUCGUGGCGUUAGUAGCCCACGUGUAAGCCUGAGGAACGCAGGGUAAAUACUGCUUCAGUUCUAGGGGUGAUGCCGAGACAUUAGUCGAAGCCAUUUGAGUAGGUUCCUGGAAAAGCAUCUAGGGAGAUUAGAGGUAACCGUACCAAAACUGACACAGGUAGGUGAGGAGAGAAUCCUAAGGCGCUCGAGAUAACCUAUGUUAAGGAACUCGACAGAUUGGUCCCGUAAGUUCGCGAUAAGGGACGCCAGGUAUUGUGAUAGCACUUGCUGCUUGAGCAUCAUUCUGGUCACAGAGAAUCGGGGGUGGCGACUGUUUACCUAAAACACAGGACUCUGCAAAGUCGUAAGACGACGUAUAGGGUCUGACGCCUGCCCAAUGCUGGAAGGUUAAGAGGAGGUGUUAGCUUCGGCGAAGCUCCGAAUUGAAGCCCCAGUGAAUGGCGGCCGUAACUAUGACGGUCCUAAGGUAGCGAAGUUCCUUGUCGGGUAAGUUCCGACGCGCACGAAUGGCGUAACGACUGCCCCAUUGUCUCAACAUAGGGCUCGGUGAAAUUGUAGUCGCGGUGAAGAUGCCGCGUAACCGCACAAGGACGGAAAGACCCCGUGAACCUUUACUGCAGCCUGAUAUUGGGCUCUGACACAUUAUGUGUAGCAUAGGUGGGAGGCUUUGAAGCGGGCACGCUAGUGUUCGUGGAGCCACAAUGUGAAAUACCACUCUUAAUGUGUUAGUGUUCUAACUUGGUGCCUUGAAUCAGGGCCAAGAACAGUUUCAGGUGGGCAGUUUGGCUGGGGCGGUCUCCUCCUAAAUAGUAACGGAGGAGUCCGAUGGCUUCCUCAGGCUGGUUGGUAAUCAGCCGUAGAGCAUAAAGGUAUAAGGAAGCUUAACUGUGAGACAUAUAAGUCGAGCAGGUGUGAAAGCAGGGCUUAGUGAUCCGGUGAAUUCCGAAUGGAAGGGUCAUCGCUUAACAGAUAAAAGGUAC
rnacentral:rRNA from 1 species